rnacentral:rRNA from 1 species
AGAACGAACGCUGGCGGCAGGCUUAACACAUGCAAGUCGAACGGUUGUAGCAAUACAGCAGUGGCAGACGGGUGAGUAACACGUGGGAACCUUCCUAGGGGUACGGAACAACUCAGGGAAACUUGAGCUAAUACCGUAUACGUCCGUGAGGAGAAAGAUUUAUCGCCCCUAGACGGGCCCGCGUAGGAUUAGGUAGUUGGUGAGGUAACGGCUCACCAAGCCUACGAUCCUUAGCUGAUCUGAGAGGAUGAUCAGCCACACUGGGACUGAGACACGGCCCAGACUCCUACGGGAGGCAGCAGUGGGGAAUCGUUGGACAAGUGGGCG